AAGACAGGCUUAGAUGGAGGAAACUGAUUCGCUGUGGCGACCCCUGAAGGGAAGAGCCGAAAGGAAAAGAAGAAGAAGACGAUGAUUCCAGCAGAUUCUGAAGGAGAAAAGCGGCUCGUCGAGCUUCACCGACGAUGUGUCAGACAAAGUUGUUGUCCAUCAUCUCGCCAUCUGCACCUUGAUGUUCUGAAUGGUUCCUGAAAACUGUGAGCCAAGUCAGCACUCAGGAUUUCUCUGAGGCGAGCGCAAAAGCAAGCUGAUGACAGCAGUCUGACAGCUCCGUUUGGUCAGCCUGACCAUGUCGAUGUGUCCAGAGACUCAAGCUUCUGUCAUGGAUCUUUUUGGAUUGAAGAAACUUCACCUUUUUACUGGGAGCAUCUGUGUGAAUGAAGAAGGUGCUUCCUCUUUGUAGAAACGAGCUCUCAGACCUGAGGCAUCUCACAUAAAUACUUUAUUUACCGGUUCAUACAGUGCACAUUAGCACUGUGUUUCAAACAUUAGAUAAAUGAAUUGUAACACAAAACAUGUUUAAAACCUCUGUACAGCUACUGAAAAUUUGUGCUA